GGUCCUUUGCAGCUCAGUUGGUAGAGCACGGCGCUUUUAACACCAGGGCAGUGGGUUUGAUUCCCACGAGUACCC
rnacentral:tRNA from 1 species